GUUAACACAGGGCAAGCAGGCGCGGGAAAACGGGGGAGGCGAGCGUUAGCCGGAGUCACGGGGCGUAAAGCGCGUGCAGGCGGCUCGGUAAGUUGGGCGUGAAAGCGCCUGGCUGAACCGGGGAACUGGGCUUGUGACUGCCAGGCUAGAGGACGGCAGAGGGGGGUGGAAUUCCACGUGUAGCAGUGAAAUGCGUAGAGAUGUGGAGGAACACCAAUGGCGAAGGCAGCCCCCUGGGUCGAUACUGACGCUCAUGCACGAAAGCGUGGGUAGCAAACAGGAUUAGAUACCCUAGUAGUC
rnacentral:rRNA from 1 species